GCGGGAGUAGCAUAAUGGUAAUGCUCUAGCCUUCCAAGCUAGCGAAGCGGGUCCGAUUCCCGUCUCCCGCU
rnacentral:tRNA from 1 species